GGCGGGGCACAGAGCCCCCAGCUUGCUGGUAUGCACUGUAGCCGAAUCCUGUAGAUCUGGGGCCAGUCGCUGCAGGGGAGGUCUCCCAGGUCUGCAGGCAGCUUUCGCAUGUGCCCUGGCCCUCAGCUCUCCUGUGCCUGCUGCUGGAAUGUGGAAGCUGGCCACUCAGCCCAACUCGGCUUCUUCUGCCCUCCCCCUGCUCCUUUCAGCCAGUCAAUAUCCUGUACUAAAUCCCUUCUGCUUCAAGCACAACUGCACAGUAUGGACACAGGAUGCAGUCAUGAGAUACUUCCCAAACAUCUUCCUGUUGCUUCUUUGAUCUGACCUGGCUCCACUCUCAGAAACUACUGGGCUUCAAAGAGUGAGAGUACAGGACCACGCCAGGUGUUGGCCCAAUCUUGCCUAAAACAGGAUGGACCAGAGUGAAGACAUGAACAUCUCCUAGGAGCAGCUUUUGCAAGAUGAGGUCGAAAGGCCCUGACAGCCGCACGGAAGACUGUAUUUCCACCUUCACCAGUUCUCCUGUUCUAAACUCAGGCUCAGAAGAAGAUCCUGGGGGCUGAGUGGCGGAGUCCUUCUCCCUGACUUCAUGGCGAGGCAGCCAGCAAGACUAGGCAGUAAUUACCCCCCCCAGGUGAUUGUACAAUGUCUGCGGGUGCCUUGCAAAGCUGGUUGGGAGCCAUGUAGAUACGUGCAGGCUGAGAAGUCUCUGCAUGACGGGAUCUGCUGCUGCCUGCACGGCUCUUGCCACCCCCAAGGGGAUGAUAAGGAAAUAACUGGUUGGGCCAUGCCAGAGUUUUUUUUGGUGAUCAUACAUAGGGGACCCAGCCCUAAGAGAGUUAGACCCUGAAGAUCUUAAACAUCCUUGACAUUUACAUAGCAAACACCAGUGUUUGAAACAUUUGGAAUAAAUCUACAGAUGGAGCACCAGAUUUCAUUGUGUUUCUAAUGGCAAAUGUGGAUGUGAACUGAGAUUGCGUAAAACUAAAAGUCCCCUAACAGGACUUCCCUGGUGCUGUAAGAACAGUUCUUUUCAUGGCCAGACUGUAAAACCAGCAAAGGAUGCUAUAUUAUACGACUGUAUCAGAAAAGUGCUUCCCCCUCCCCAAAUAAAUUUACUAAGAGUUGACUCUAAGACUUAGUUCAGGGCUUCCCUGGUGGCUCAGUAGUAAAGAAUCUGCCUGCCAAAUGCAGGAGAGACACAGGUUCGAUCCCUGAUCCAGGAAGAUUCCGCAUGCCACGGAGCAACUAAGCCGGUGCUCUGCAACUACUGAGCCUGUGCUCUAGAGCCCAUGAGCCGCAAUUACUGAAGCCUGCUAGACCUAAGGCCCGUGCUCCACAACCAGAGAAGCCGCCACAGUGAGAGGCCCGAGCACCGCAGCUAGAGAGCAGCCUCCACUUGUCACAACUAGAGAAAACCCCCCCAACAACAGACCCAGGACAGCCAAAAAUACGUGAAAUUAUAAAAAAAGAUUUAAAGAAGAAAAGUCCUGUGACAAAAGCAGAGAGAGGGGGAGGGGGUCCUUCAUGAAGCCUUUGCACCGUUGGAACUUUUAAACCAGAUGCAUGUACCAUUGUGACCAUGUUCAGUAGCUUAUUAAAGAUGAGAAACAAAUCAUUUAUAUCCAGCCAGCAGCCCACGGCAAGGCACAAAAGGCAACCUGGGCCUUCGGAGUCUGGGGACCGUAUUUCAAGACAUCCCUGAUGUGAAGUACUUGGUGUUUCUUGAAGAUGGAGGCUAUAUACAAAUACCCAUGAUGCUUUUCUCGUAUUCCUUUCCAUUUCACGUUGAAGUCACCAGUUCUUUACUGCUUGUUUCAGGAAGUUUUAAGGAAUAGGCACAGACAUUCAGCUAUCUGAUGCAAAGAACUAACUCACUGGAAAAUGAGAUGCUGAGAUAAGAUUGAAGGCAGGAGGAGAAGGGGCAACAGAGGAUGAGAUGAUUGGAUGACAUCACUGACUCAGUGGACAUGAGUUUGAACAAACUCUGGGAGUUGGUGAUGGACAGGGAAGCCUGGUGUGCUGCAGUGCAUGGGGUCGCAAAGAGCUGGACACGACUGAGCAACUGAAUAACAGUAACAACAGUGAAGCUUUUCUCUUACCCCGUUUCAUUUCACAUUGAUGUCACCGGUUCUUCACUGCCAGUUUCAGGAAGUUUUAAGGAAUGAGCACAGACAUUCAACCAGAGAAGUGCUC
ensembl:lncRNA